rnacentral:rRNA from 1 species
AGUGAACGCUGGCGGUAGGCCUAACACAUGCAAGUCGAACGACAGCACAGUAAGAGCUUGCUCUUAUGGGUGGCGAGUGGCGGAUGGGUGAGGAAUACAUCGGAAUCUACUUUUUCGUGGGGGAUAACGUAGGGAAAUAAACGCUAAUAGCGCAUACGACCUACGGGUGAAUGCAGGAGAGAUUCAGACCUUUUGCGUUUGAUUGAGCCGAUGUCGGAUUAGCUAGUUGGCGGGGUAAAGGCCCACCAAGGCGACGAUCCGUAGCUGGUCUGAGAGGAUGGUCAGCCACACUGGAACUGAGACACGGUCCAGACUCCUACGGGAGGCAGCAGUGGGGAAUAGUGGACAAAGGUCGGAAGCCUUAUCCAGCCAUACCGCGUGAGUGAAGAAGGCCUUCGGUUUGUAAAGCCCUUUUGUUGGGAAAGAAAAUCUGCAAGUUAAUACCCCGCUGUUCUGACGGUACCCAAAGAAUAAGCACCGGCUAACUACGUG